rnacentral:tRNA from 1 species
GUGGGCGUAGCUCAGUUGGUAGAGCACAGGAUUGUGGCUCCUGUGGUCGUGGGUUCGAUCCCCAUCGCUCACCCCA